rnacentral:rRNA from 1 species
UACAGAGGGUGCAAGCGUUAAUCGGAAUUACUGGGCGUAAAGCGUGCGUAGACGGUUAUGUAAGUCAGGUGUGAAAGCCCCGGGCUCAACCUGGGAAUUGCAUUUGAGACUGCAUAGCUAGGGUGCGGAAGAGGGAAGCGGAAUUUCCGGUGUAGCGGUGAAAUGCGUAGAUAUCAGGAGGAACACCCAUGGCGAAGGCAGCUAACUGGGCAUUAUCUGACGCUGAGGCGCGAAAGCGUGGGUAGCAAACAGG